GAUGAACGCUGGCGGCGUGCCUAAUACAUGCAAGUCGAGCGAACGGACGAGAAGCUUGCUUCUCUGAUGUUAGCGGCGGACGGGUGAGUAACACGUGGAUAACCUACCUAUAAGACUGGGAUAACUUCGGGAAACCGGAGCUAAUACCGGAUAAUAUUUUGAACCGCAUGGUUCAAAAGUGAAAGACGGUCUUGCUGUCACUUAUAGAUGGAUCCGCGCUGCAUUAGCUAGUUGGUAAGGUAACGGCUUACCAAGGCAACGAGGCAUAGCCGACCUGAGAGGGGGAUCGGCCACACUGGAACUGAGACACGGUCCAGACUCCUACGGGAGGCAGCAGUAGGGAAUCUUACGCAAUGGGCGAAAGCCUGACGGAGCAACGCCGCGUGAGUGAUGAAGGUCUUCGGAUCGUAAAACUCUGUUAUUAGGGAAGAACAUAUGUGUAAGUAACUGUGCACAUCUUGACGGUACCUAAUCAGAAAGCCACGGCUAACUACGUG
rnacentral:rRNA from 1 species